AGAUUGAACGCUGGCGGCAGGCCUAACACAUGCAAGUCGAGCGGUAGAGAGGUGCUUGCACCUCUUGAGAGCGGCGGACGGGUGAGUAAUGCCUAGGAAUCUGCCUAGUGGUGGGGGAUAACGUUCGGAAACGGACGCUAAUACCGCAUACGUCCUACGGGAGAAAGCGGGGGACCUUCGGGCCUCGCGCCAUUAGAUGAGCCUAGGUCGGAUUAGCUAGUUGGUGAGGUAAUGGCUCACCAAGGCGACGAUCCGUAACUGGUCUGAGAGGAUGAUCAGUCACACUGGAACUGAGACACGGUCCAGACUCCUACGGGAGCAGCAGUGGGGAAUAUUGGACAAGU
rnacentral:rRNA from 1 species